rnacentral:rRNA from 1 species
UACGAAGGGGGCUAGCGUUGUUCGGAAUUACUGGGCGUAAAGCGCGCGCAGGCGGUCUUCCAAGUCAGUGGUGAAAGCCCGGAGCUCAACUCCGGAACUACCAUUGAAACUGUUUAGCUUGAGGAUGAGAGAGGUGAGUGGAAUUCCCAGUGUAGAGGUGAAAUUCGUAGAUAUUGGGAAGAACACCGGUGGCGAAGGCGGCUCACUGGCUCAUUACUGACGCUCAGGCGCGAUAGCGUGGGGAUCAAACAGG